UAGGGAAUCUUCCACAAUGGACGCAAGUCUGAUGGAGCAACGCCGCGUGAGUGAAGAAGGUUUUCGGAUCGUAAAGCUCUGUUGUUGGUGAAGAAGGAUAGAGGCAGUAACUGGUCUUUAUUUGACGGUAAUCAACCAGAAAGUCACGGCUAACUACGUGCCAGCAGCCGCGGUAAUACGUAGGUGGCAAGCGUUGUCCGGAUUUAUUGGGCGUAAAGCGAGCGCAGGCGGAAUGAUAAGUCUGAUGUGAAAGCCCACGGCUCAACCGUGGAACUGCAUCGGAAACUGUCAUUCUUGAGUGCAGAAGAGGAGGGUGGAAUUCCAUGUGUAGCGGUGGAAUGCGUAGAUAUAUGGAAGAGCACCAGUGGCGAAGGCGGCUCUCUGGUCUGCAACUGACGCUGAGGCUCGAAAGCAUGGGUAGCGAACAGG
rnacentral:rRNA from 1 species